rnacentral:rRNA from 1 species
AAAUUGAAGAGUUUGAUCAUGGCUCAGAUUGAACGCUGGCGGCAGGCCUAACACAUGCAAGUCGAACGGUAACAGGAAACAGCUUGCUGUUUCGCUGACGAGUGGCGGACGGGUGAGUAAUGUCUGGGAAACUGCCUGAUGGAGGGGGAUAACUACUGGAAACGGUAGCUAAUACCGCAUAACGUCGCAAGACCAAAGAGGGGGACCUUAGGGCCUCUUGCCAUCGGAUGUGCCCAGAUGGGAUUAGCUAGUAGGUGGGGUAAAGGCUCACCUAGGCGACGAUCCCUAGCUGGUCUGAGAGGAUGACCAGCCACACUGGAACUGAGACACGGUCCAGACUCCUACGGGAGGCAGCAGUGGGGAAUAUUGCACAAUG